ensembl:lncRNA
GGAAGAGGAACAGAUGGUAGCAUGCCUCCAGGCUCGUGAAAAGGGGAGAGCCGAGAGUCCCAGGGAAUCAGGAAUACACACAAAUCCAGCGGAAGUUUGGACCUUGGGGCUUUCAGAGGCGUGGAGGUCAAGAAGCACUCAGAGGUGCCUCACCAGACCAACUGCCCAGCAGCACCUGGCGAAUGUCGGAAGCAUUCUGCUUGGAGGUUUUACACUUAGAAGGUCCGUAUCUGAUUCCCGCAGAAUGAUAGACACCUUACUGCUUCCACCCACCCCUGUGAGAACAUCAGGUCUGGUUUCAAGGCUUCUGUCGCCAAGGUUUCUAAUCUGCAGGAUGCAAGACAGUCACUGGUUUCCUGAAGAAGGCAGGACAGCAUCUCCUCCUUCCCCCUGCCUUAUGUGCAGUUCUCGGUGUUCAGUCUCACAAAGGCUUGUGCAAAUCCUCCAGAUCCUAUCAGCCUCAAACCCUUCUCUCCAUAGGAGUCCCAAACCAGUCUAAGGACCAGUUAGGGACAGCAGGCACCAUUGGUACCCUGGAUCAUCUUCCCUAGCACAAGCCCC